GCUGCUCUCAUUAAUACCCUAUUAACACAACAGGCUGUUGUGCUGCAUGGCAGUGGUGUUAAAGCAAUGGGGGAAUGCAGGCGGGUGAUGAUGAGGGGUGAGGAAGAGCCCAGUUCUGUCCCACCACACCGCUCCCAUGUGUCACUGCCAUCCAUGUGUGCUGCACAUCAGACCUGCCUGGAAGUGGCCAAAUUCUGCCUUCAUCCUCUCUCUGCUUGAAUAAAAAGCAAAACAGUGUCUGAAAUCUGAUUGAGAGGAAAGCGUUUUCCCUUUCACUUCCUGCAAGACAUGCCCUCUCUCUGCCAACCAUAUCCUGGGUUACAUUAAAAAAGGGGUGGCCAGCAGGGAGAGGGAGGUGAUUGUGCCCCUCUACUCAGCUCCUGUGAGGCCCCAUCUGCAGUACUGCGUCCAGGCCUGGGGCCCCCAGUAGAGGAAGGAUGUGAAGCUCUUGAGAGGAUCCAGAGGAGGGUCACUAAGAUGGUCAGAGGGCUGGAGUACCUCUCCUAUGAGGAAAGGUUGAGGGAAUUGGGCUUGUUUAGUUUGGAGAAGAGAAGGCUCUGGAGAGACCUCAUUGUGGCCUUCCAGUACUUGAAGGGAGUGUAUAAACAGGAGGGGAACAGCUGUUUAUGAGGGUGGAUAGUGAUAGGACAAGGGGGAAUGGUUUUAAACUGAGACAGGGGAGGUUUAGCUUGGAGAAGAGAAGGCUGCGGGGAGACCUCAUUGUGGCCUUCUGGUACUGAAAGGGAGCGUAUAAACAGGAGGGGGAAUGGCUGUUUGUGAGGGUGGACAGUGAUAGGACAAGGGGGAAUGGUUUUAAACUGAGACAGGGGAGGUUUAGGUUGGAGAUGAGGAGGAAGAUCUUCCCCCAGAGGGUGGUGACGCACUGAACAGGUUGCCCAAGGAGGCUGUGGAUGCCCCAUCCCUGCAGGCAUUCAAGGCCAGGCUGGAUGUGGCUCUGGGCAGCCUGGUCUGCUGGUUGGUGACCCUGCACAUAGCAGGGGGUUGGAACUGGAUGAGCACUGUGGUCCUUUUCAACCCAGGACAUUCUCUGACUCUAUGAUUCUAUGAUUGCCACAGCUGCAUUAUAAAGCUGAAGAUGUUUUCAUUAAUACAAUCUCAUGGGCUUGGGCCAGAGGCACUGCCUUUGCUUUAACCUGAUGUGAAAGGGAGAGAAAGUUCAAGGCUGUUUGUAGAGGAAUGUUUGUGCCCUGUGACCCUCUCAGAGCACACAGCCCUCCAUGUCACCCCCAUUCUCAGAGCACAGCAAACAGAACCUGCUCUGCUCCAAGGCCUCUGCAGCCCAAUUAGGACAAAACCAGCAACAAAGGCAAAGUGCUG
rnacentral:lncRNA from 1 species